AUGUAUGCUCCAUGUUGUGUCAGGUGAACUCGAAUUUCUCCAUCGUAAUGACAAUGAAGCUUAUGUUUUAAAUUAUAUAAUACCCUGGGGCACCCGCGUAUGAGCUCGUCCUUUGAUUUACUACCAUUAUAUCAAUUUUGUUUUUGAAACGAAAAGUGCUGGAUUCUUGCAGCCACGCAACACAUAACACAACCACAAAGCGCGUCAGAUAACAAGUCGUGUCCCGUGGCACACAAAAAAAUAAAAAAAAAUGAUGUGCCACCCGGUAUAACCACAUCAGUGAUGUACGGAACAUAUGUCUUGGACGAAUUCCGUCUCGCAUGACUACGAUACGUACAGAUAUCGCGACAAGCACUACUUUCUAUCCUGAGAUCGUGUGUAACACCAUAUGAAAACUGACAGUUGGGAGUGACGGCAUGCGUCAUUUGCACCGUCCUAACCACGUGAGACACCAAUACAGGCACACACCACAGAAAAACUCAAUAAUGUACGUACGAAAAGACAAAAUCUUUUCGUACACGGCACGACGGAAAAUGAGCACAUCAAAACACGCUGGGUAAUAAUAAGCAAUGUAUGACAAUGAACAUACACGAAGAUACCCCGACGAUCCGUAUUCACGUGCACCGUGCACGACAGGAAAGAAAAUUGUACAGCAAACACACGUAUCAUGCACGUUGAACAAACC
rnacentral:lncRNA from 1 species